rnacentral:lncRNA from 1 species
CAGCCGCCCCCGCCCGCGCCCUCCCCCUCCAGCCCCGGGCGGCCCGCGAGGCGCCCCCCGGGGCCUCUUAAAGGAACACGCACACUCGGCCCCCGGGGCUCCGCCAGGGGAGGGGGUUCCUGGGAAGGGGGAGGGGGCCGGCCUAGGUGGGGGAGGGGCCCAGCGGAGGCCUCACGGCGCCGCUCCAGGGCCUCCCAGGCCUCCCCAGCGCCAGCUUUCGGCCGGUACCUGGGUUCCCGGCUAAGGAAAGCUGCCCUGGUUAUUAUCUGGUCACCUCACCGGCUGCGCAAACGUGUCCACAACGGGUCCCUCCCCGAGAGGCCACAUCUCGCCUAAGGUGGAGCCAGCAGGUAUUUGCCUGUGGAAAACUGCAGUGGAUCCUGCCCCGUCUGCGUAGACUGCGCAGCUCGGAGUCAAAGAUUCGUUCUGGCCAGAGAGGAGGUACUAAGAGAGGUGCGACCUAGCCAAGAACGAGGUCGUGGAGAAAACCCUGUGGGGGCGGCGCUCACAUAUGCGGUGAUGAGGAGUUGUGAGGGCCCUGGGGUCGGCCCCGAAAAGUAGGGAUAACGGUCGCAGAGGCCAUACUGCUUCCGCCGGUCCCGAAUCCGCACUGCCAGGAGAGAUCCGGCCUUCAAACGCUGCUCCCAACGUUCAACAACGAAGUGCCCUGCGACCGAAAACGACCUUCAGGAAUCAGCCUGAGUGUUCGCGCCCGAGCCCGAUUGGAAGCAGGUGCGUGGUCGCUUCACUCUCCCCGUGCACACCUUGAGUUAUAGCUCUCGCUGCGCACAGAGGGCACCACACGGGGCCCGACACACACACACACACACACACACACACACACACACACACACACACCAUCACUUCAUGGGGGGGAAACUGAGGCUGCCGGAAGACAGAAAACGAAGACUGAUCACAGAAGAGGGGGCUUCAAUCACAGGUGCUCGCAGACACCCCAACUCCCUCACGCGUUACUCAGCACUCCUUAACUUAGGAGACGUGCGCUUCCGAGAGAUGAGAAGAAACUAAAAAAGUGGUUGGCAGGGCGAAGAGAGGAAGCCGGUAUUUCGGAAGAAGGAGACUUUCGUCUCCGGUACCGGAUAGGGCGAAAAUUCGUUGGGUCGCGGGUGGAGAAUCCGGGGUCCGCCCGCGCGGUGCCGCCCUGUGCUCAGCGAAAGGUGCGCUCAC